CUUGCCCUCGAGGGAACUCUGGACCAACGAAGCAACAAAGACAGGGAUUGAGCUGGGUGGAAGCCAGAAGGCCAGGCCAGGGUCAGAGCUAGGCGGGAGGCCACCACAGCCCAGCAAGGUUGAUACGCCCAUGCGGAAAAAAACGGGUGAGAAACAGGCAGGAUAAGAAAAUGCAAUAAACAAGCCAACAAACAUCCAAGUAGGGGUGGGGAGACUGCAGAGUAGAGAUAAACAAAGAUGAGAAACACCCAGUGGGGGGCUUGGAAUGCCAGACCCCAGAAAGUCUGCCUUAAUGUGGGCCGAAGGAAAACUGGUACGGACGCGGGAAGAUGGCUCAGCAGAACUGCAAAGCAGCCUGCAGAAAUGCGGCGAGGAACUGAGCAGACUGCCUGGGGUGGGCGAGGCAGACCCCAGAGGAGGCCAGGAGCUCUCUGCGUCCAGGACUCCUAAGGGGGGCAGCCUGCAUUGGUAAAAUGGCUCCUGGGACCAGCAGAAGCCAAGGGGUGUUUUAGCUAAACUUUUGACAGGCAUAAUGUACAAGCCUUGAAGCGUUGGGGGGUUUGGGGGAGGGGAUAAGCAGCAGGUAGAUGUACCCAAAACCUGCAGCUUGGGCAUUCAGCUUACACACAAGCUCUGCCUAAGAGCCAGUAUAGCAUGGACAAGCGGAGACUGAGGCAGGAAGCAUAGGGGACAAAAGAGAAACAAAAAGGCAAAAAUAAAGGAACUUAGAAGUCCUUGGAUGAGUGGCAAACUGCAGUGCAGUUGCAAGAAAAAAGGUAAUAGGCCUGAGAGGGCUUUUAUCUAAAGCCCUUCUUCCCAAAACCUCUGAGGCCUUUCCACAAUGAUCUUACUCCUCAAACAUCCAUGAUGAUGAUCAUGCUGACAUUUUUCGAGUGCUUGCUAUGUGCGAGACACUGUGCUAAGCUCUUCAACUGUUUAAUCAUCACAAGCACGCACUUAGAUAUUGCGAUCCUCCAGUUUUUAUAGAUAAGAAAACUGAGAUUCAGAGAGGUUGAGCAAGUUGCACAAGGACACACAGCUAAUAAGUAGCAGAACUGGCGCAGUGGCUUACACCUGUAAUCCCAGCACUUUGGGAGGCUGCAGCAGGUGGAUCACUUGAGGUCAGCAGUUCGAGAC
rnacentral:lncRNA from 10 species